GGGGCUUCUCUGCUAACUGCCUCUACCUCUGGAAGACCAUUCUUCCUCCCCUGUCAGGCCAGUCAGCUUCUGUAAACUAAAAUCAUUUAAUCAUGUAGAUACAAGGCUAUUCUGAUAGGAAAAGGAAUGAGCCAAGGAGUCACAGGCUCAAAGAAUUUUAGAAUUGGAAGGAUGUUAGAGGUGGCAAAGAGCAAACCCAAGGUGGACCGGGGACAGAGGCAGCCACCGCAUCUGCACUGGCACAGGACUUCAACUCUGAAUGAGGAACUUAAACUUCGAUGUUGCCUUGCUGAACUUCUCACCCACCCCUCCAGGCCCUUUCAGGAAACCAACCACCAGGACACCCAGAUAGUAUCAAGAAACUGAAACUCACCAGAUCACUGCCUCUGGACCAUGAGAUGUCAGACUUCUCACCUGUCAUGAUUGCCUAACUGACCACCUGCUUCCUGUUGACCAGCUCCUCUUUCCUAUCCUCCUUAGUUCUUGUUUUCCUACACAUGGUUACAUUUCUUUCCUGCUCUAUGAAGCUCUAAUUCCAGUGUGUUGGAGAGAUGGAUUUAAGACUGAUCUCCCAUCUCUGUGGUUGCAGCACCUGAUUAAAACCUUCUUCCUGGCAAUAAUCAUUGUCUUGGUGAUUGGCUUUCUGUGUGGUGAGCAGCAGGGUCUAGGCCGAAUCCCUGGUAUUUCAGUAACAUUUCCUUCUUGGAACACAGUCCUGUAUUGUGAGGACCCCAACUCACAUGGAGAGACCUUGUGGAAGAGAAUGGAGACACUUAGUCUGUGGUCCCAGC
rnacentral:lncRNA from 1 species